rnacentral:rRNA from 1 species
CCUACGGGCGGCAGCAGUGGGGAAUAUUGGACAAUGGGCGAAAGCCUGAUCCAGCCAUGCCGCGUGUGUGAAGAAGGCCUUCGGGUUGUAAAGCACUUUCAGUGGGGAAGAAAGCCUUGGGGCUAAUACCCUCGAGGAAGGACAUCACCCACAGAAGAAGCACCGGCUAACUCCGUGCCAGCAGCCGCGGUAAUACGGAGGGUGCGAGCGUUAAUCGGAAUUACUGGGCGUAAAGCGCGCGUAGGCGGUCUGAUAAGCCGGUUGUGAAAGCCCCGGGCUCAACCUGGGAACGGCAUCCGGAACUGUCAGGCUAGAGUGCAGGAGAGGAAGGUAGAAUUCCCGGUGUAGCGGUGAAAUGCGUAGAGAUCGGGAGGAAUACCAGUGGCGAAGGCGGCCUUCUGGACUGGCACUGACGCUGAGGUGCGAAAGCGUGGGUAGCAAACAGGAUUAGAUACCCUUGUAGUC